CUGAAAAUUAUUUAAACGGGAGUGCAUUAUUGAAAAGAAGUUUGAGCAACACUGCUGUAAAAGACAGAUCUGUUCCUACUAUCCUCUUGCCUUUCCCUCCCUACAGGGAGACCAAGCAGUUGGUGUACCAGGCCCCCCCGGCCUCCCUGGGCCUCCUGGACCCCCCAGAUCACGCAGUGUACCGUACGGAGCAGAUGCCCUAGGUUCUGGCUUUGAAGAUCUGGACAGCGACACUGAACUCAUCAGGGGUCAUCCUGGUCUACCAGGGCCUCCAGGACCCCCUGGUCCCCCUGGACCCCUGUCUGACUCAGAUGAAGACCUCUCUACAGCUGGAGCACCUGGUACCCCUGGCAAAGACGGGCUCACAGGCAAACCUGGAAUACCAGUAAGUUACAUAGAUACCGUAUUCUAGUUAAAUCUUGUUACAGAUAAAAGUAAGAACUGCAGAGUAUAUUU
rnacentral:lncRNA from 1 species